rnacentral:rRNA from 1 species
UUUGUUCCUUAAAUAGGGACUUGUAUGAAUGGCCACAAGAGGGCUUUACUGUCUCUUACUUCCAAUCCGUGAAAUUGACCUUCCCGUGAAGAGGCGGGGAUAUAACAAUAAGACGAGAAGACCCUAUGGAGCUUUAAUUAAUUGACCCAAAGAGACUCCAUAAAUUAACCGACAGGAACAACAAAUCUCUAUGUGGGCCAACAAUUUAGGUUGGGGUGACCUCGGAGAAUAAAACAACCUCCGAGUGAUUUAAAUCUAGACUAACCAGUCAAAAGUAUUACAUCACUUAUUGAUCCAAAAACACUUGAUCAACGGAACAAGUUACCCUAGGGAUAACAGCGCAAUCCUAUUUCAGAGGCCAUAUCGACAAUAGGG